rnacentral:tRNA from 1 species
GCGGGGUAGCUCAGUUGGUAGAGCAAAGGACUGAAAAUCCUUGUGUCACCAGUUCGAUUCUCGGUGGCAC